rnacentral:rRNA from 1 species
UACGUAGGGGGCAAGCGUUGUCCGGAUUUAUUGGGCGUAAAGAGCGUGUAGGCGGCUUCACAGGUCCGCUGUGAAAACUCGAGGCUCAACCUCGAGACGUCGGUUGAAACCAUCUGGCUAGAGUCCGGAAGAGGAGAGUGGAAUUCCCGGUGUAGCGGUGAAAUGCGCAGAUAUCGGGAAGAACACCCGUGGCGAAGGCGGCUCUCUGGGACGGUACUGACGCUGAGACGCGAAAGCGUGGGGAGCGAACAGG